rnacentral:rRNA from 1 species
AUGAACGCUAGCUACAGGCUUAACACAUGCAAGUCGAGGGGCAUCAGGAAGAAAGCUUGCUUUCUUUGCUGGCGACCGGCGCACGGGUGAGUAACACGUAUCCAACCUGCCCUUUACUCGGGGAUAGCCUUUCGAAAGAAAGAUUAAUACCCGAUAGCAUAAUGAUUCCGCAUGGUUUCAUUAUUAAAGGAUUCCGGUAAAGGAUGGGGAUGCGUUCCAUUAGGUUGUUGGUGAGGUAACGGCUCACCAAGCCUUCGAUGGAUAGGGGUUCUGAGAGGAAGGUCCCCCACAUUGGAACUGAGACACGGUCCAAACUCCUACGGGAGGCAGCAGUGAGGAAUAUUGGUCAAUGGGCGCUAGCCUGAACCAGCCAAGUAGCGUGAAGGAUGAAGGCUCUAUGGGUCGUAAACUUCUUUUAUAUAAGAAUAAAGUGCAGUAUGUAUACUGUUUUGUAUGUAUUAUAUGAAUAAGGAUCGGCUAACUCCGUGCCAGCAGCCGCGGUAAUACGGAGGAUCCGAGCGUUAUCCGGAUUUAUUGGGUUUAAAGGGAGCGUAGGUGGACUGGUAAGUCAGUUGUGAAAGUUUGCGGCUCAACCGUAAAAUUGCAGUUGAUACUGUCAGUCUUGAGUACAGUAGAGGUGGGCGGAAUUCGUGGUGUAGCGGUGAAAUGCUUAGAUAUCACGAAGAACUCCGAUUGCGAAGGCAGCUCACUGGACUGCAACUGACACUGAUGCUCGAAAGUGUGGGUAUCAAACAGGAUUAGAUACCCUGGUAGUCCACACAGUAAACGAUGAAUACUCGCUGUUUGCGAUAUACAGUAAGCGGCCAAGCGAAAGCAUUAAGUAUUCCACCUGGGGAGUACGCCGGCAACGGUGAAACUCAAAGGAAUUGACGGGGGCCCGCACAAGCGGAGGAACAUGUGGUUUAAUUCGAUGAUACGCGAGGAACCUUACCCGGGCUUAAAUUGCAGUGGAAUGAUGUGGAAACAUGUCAGUGAGCAAUCACCGCUGUGAAGGUGCUGCAUGGUUGUCGUCAGCUCGUGCCGUGAGGUGUCGGCUUAAGUGCCAUAACGAGCGCAACCCUUAUCUUCAGUUACUAACAGGUCAUGCUGAGGACUCUGGAGAGACUGCCGUCGUAAGAUGUGAGGAAGGUGGGGAUGACGUCAAAUCAGCACGGCCCUUACGUCCGGGGCUACACACGUGUUACAAUGGGGGGUACAGAAGGCAGCUAGCGGGUGACCGUAUGCUAAUCCCAAAAUCCUCUCUCAGUUCGGAUCGAAGUCUGCAACCCGACUUCGUGAAGCUGGAUUCGCUAGUAAUCGCGCAUCAGCCACGGCGCGGUGAAUACGUUCCCGGGCCUUGUACACACCGCCCGUCAAGCCAUGGGAGCCGGGGGUACCUGAAGUACGUAACCGCAAGGAUCGUCCUAGGGUAAAACUGGUGACUGGGGCU